GACGAACGCUGGCGGUGUGCUUCACACAUGCAAGUCGAACGAGUGACUGCUUUGUAGCAAUACAAAGUAGAAGCUAGUGGCGGACGGGUGAGUAACGCGUAGGAAUCUGCCUUUGAGUGGGGGAUAGCAGACCGAAAGGUCUAUUAAUACCGCAUACGUAUAUACUUCGACAGUUGUAUAUAUAAAAGAAGCAAUCUGCUCAUAGAUGAGCCUGCGUCCGAUUAGCUAGUUGGUAGUGUAAUAGACUACCAAGGCGACGAUCGGUAGGUGGUCUGAGAGGAUGAUCACCCACAAUGGAACUGAGACACGGUCCAUACUCCUACGGGAGGC
rnacentral:rRNA from 1 species